rnacentral:lncRNA from 1 species
GUCAUCUAACGAACCCCCACCAGCACCAGACCAAUCUCACUCCUCGCUUAGCCUGCACAUUUAGAAAUACAUGCAGGGCGUGAGUAUAUAAUACUCAGUGGGCAAACGCCGAAAAACAAGAAAGGUGCUCUUAGAGCUAUAAGUUUGAAGCUUGCCACAUCUCAGCAAUACACAGAAAUAAGUUAGUAUCAAUGAAUCUGUGCAUGCAGUUUUCAUAAUCAACAUCAUAAAUAAGUAACUGCGCAGUUUAAACAUUCAUCAUGUAUGUACCACAUCCACUACUCAUCAUCAAAGGUACUGAGAAGUAGGCCUCCCUCUCAAGUACCGUGACCGGCCGACCCGAAGACGGCUCACAGUCACCUCUGUGCACAAAAUCCCGCUUGUGGCAGGACCGAAUUCGUCUCAUCAGUAGAGGGUAACACACAAGCUCAACAUCAAAAAUUGGCAAGUCAAACAGUUCUCAAACAUCAUUUAUCUCAAAACAUUUGAUAAGUUCUUAACAUCAUUACAUCAUUUUAAAAAGCUCAUAUGAUAAACAUAUACUCAAAAUAUUGCCCACCUGAAGACCUUACUCAAAAACUCCCGUCAAAGCGGAGUUACUUACUUCCUUGCUCUGCUUGUGUCUUCAGGGAUCAUUGUCAUCAUCGAAGGUUCAUGUCAUAAAAUGAAUCCCGAUUAGAAACUCAACGACAAAAACUCAUGCUUCAACUCAUGCUCUAUAUUAUAUUCUAUCUCCUUAAUCAACUCUACAUAAACUCUUCACUCAUUUCAAAUCCUUAAGUCCAAGGAUAGGUUUCAAGAAAAUCAUGGUUCUAAGUCUCGAUUCAUCUCUCAUAUAAGACUCGUCUAAUCUCAUUCAAACACUUAGGCAACAUAAACACAUAAGGCACAUAAGAAAAUACAAUCAAACAUCAACAAAUCAUGUCCUGUUUUUACACAGACUCGACUUCAAACUUUAACACGUUCUGACUCCGACAUCCCCUGGAUUCCAGACUCAUACCAAAAGAAAGGUAUUUGAGUCUAGUUUCAUUUAAAAAAAAGUAGAGUCAGAAACUCCAAGUGGUUUGGGGAGAUAUGACUGUUUUACUACAGUCUACCAUAUUCGGCAGUUUUGAGCAAUCGAAAAGUUUGAUUUUUCAAAAAUAGUAAACGUUGUCAAACUGCGCUCAAAUUUGGUGGAUAUCUAGCCCAUACAGUAACGUUGAUACCAUAAAAAUUUGGAAAGCUAAUUCACACAGGAAGUCACUGAAAUGAAUGACUUUGUCCCCCUGUUCUCUGAAAUUCCCGGCAGAAAUGUGCAGAUUUGGUUUUGCAUUUUAUAAAAAUGUAAAUCAAGUCCAAAUGACUUGAAAUUUUACAGAGGUGCUCAAGACUCAUGUAGGGACAUUCUCUAAAAUUUUCAAAGCUUUAAGACAUCGACAAACCGUCGAUCACAGUAGGUCAGUAGCCUACGAAAAAUCACCAAAAAUUCAUUCCCAACUCUUAAAUGCUCAAAUCAACAUUCCUUCAAAGAAAACCAAUCAAAGCUCAUUUUAAACACAUAUAACACUCAAAAACAUUCAAAAACAUUAAAAAACUCAUCAUACUCAAAUCAAAUCUCCUCUUACAUCUAAACUCAAAUCUCAAGGAAAACGUUUCUACAACGCAUCAAGUAAAUCCUCUUCUCAAUUUCAUGCUUAAACACUCAAUCAUUCAAAAUGACCUCAUACUUCAUAUACUAUUUACACAUAUACUUCCCUUUUAUCAUGUAAACUAACUCUAGUGAAAACUCAUAUAUCAACAUAAAAUUCUCAACAAAAGCAUGACAUCUUCACAUAAUGGUCAUAGAUCAAAAUAGACCACAUUUAAACAAUCGAUGACUUCUCAAAAUAUGAAACUCAAAAAUUCUCAUAAACUAACUCAAGUCAAAUUUUUACUAGUUAACAAUAGACUUAAUCAUACAUAAUUAUAUACUAACAUCAUGCUCAAUUACACAUAGCUUAAGCUAAAUCACUUAAUAGACACAUAGACAAGAAGAUCCUAAUUUUUNAUUAAACUAAACUCUAAGAAAUUUUAUAAACUCACAUGGAUCUUUAAUCUCAUCAUAUAUCUAUCAAUCUUAACCAUUUAAACUCACAUAUACUCCAUCAAUUUACAAAUUUGAGCAUAGAUGCACAUAGCCCUAAUUUUAGUAAGCUAACUCAUAUCAAAAUCAUCAUUUGACAACAUAUACUCAAUUUACUCCAUCAAUCAUCAUCAUAUACAUCUCAUGGACUCAUAUUCAUCAUCAAUUCAUCACUUUAAUCAUCAACCCAAAAAUUCCCAAAUUUGGGGUAAACUAAACUCAUCGAAUCUUUACAUCUCAAAACAUAGUUUUUCAAAACACACCUCAAUCAUCACCAAACAUCACAUAGAUCACUUUUCUCACCUCAAUUCAAGGAAAGAAGAAGAAAAAUUUUUGAAGGGUAGAACACCCAAAUUUUCGAAAAUUAUGAAGAAAAAGGGAGGGGGUGAUUUCUUGCUCCAAUCCUUCAAAUAAACUCAUAUACAAACUCAUACAAAUUAUAUCUAUAAAUAUAGAGAUUACUUACUCAAGUUCUUCACCAAAACUCAAACUUUCUCUCUCUAGUCUUGAAGCCUUCCUUCAAGGAUUCUCUUGAAUUCAAAUUAAUAGGAUGUGUUUAUGGAGGAUUUAAGUAGUGAUUUAUGUGUUUGGCAUACUUGGGNAUUUAAAAAAAAGUAGAGUCAGAAACUCCAAGUGGUUUGGGAGAUAUGGCGUUUUUACCACGGUCUACCAUAUUCGGCAGUUUUGAGCAAUCGGAAACAUUGAUUUUUUUAAAAUAGUAAACGUUGUCAAACGGAGCUCAAAUUUGGUGGAUAUCUAGCCCAUACAGUAAGGUUGAUACCAUAAAAAUUUGGAAAGCUAUAUCACACAGGAAGUCACUGAAAUGAAUGACUUUGUCCCCUGUUCUCUGAAAUUCCCGGCAGAAAUGUGCAGAUUUGGUUUUGCAUUUUAUAAAAAUAGUAAAUCAAGUCCAAAUGACUUGAAAUUUUACAGAGGUGCUCAAGACUCAUGUAGGGACAUUCUGUAAACUUUUCAAAGCUUUUUGACAUCGACAAAUCGUCGAUCACAGUAGGUCAGUAGCCUACGAAAAAUCAUCAAAAACUCAUCUCAAACUCUUAAAUGCUCAAUUCAACAUUCCCCUCAAGGAAAACCAAUCAAAGCUCAAUUUAAACACAUAUAACACUCAAAAACAUUCAAAAGCAUUAAAAUACUCAUCAUACUCAAAUUAACUCUCCUCUUUUACAUCUUAACUCAAAUCUCAAGGGAAACGUUUCAACAACGUAUCAAUCAAUUCUCUUUUCAAUCUCAUGCUCAAAAACACUCAAUCAUUCAAAAUGACCUCAUACCUCAUGUAACUCAUUUUACACAUAUAAAUCCCCUAUAAUCAUGCCAACUAAACUACUAUAAAAAACUACAUAUAUCCACAUAAAACUCACAUUAAAACAUGACAAAUUUCACAUAAUGGUCAUAAAGCAAUUUAGACCUCAUUUUAUCAAUCAUCGACUUCUUAAAAUAUAGAAACUCCAAAAUUCUCAUAAACUAACUCAAGUCAAAUUUUUACUUAGUUAACAAUAGACUUAAUCAUACAUAAUUAUACACUAACAUCAUGCUCAAUUACACAUAUCUUAAGCUAAAUCACUUAAUAGACACAUAGACAAGAAGAUCCUAAUUUUUAUUAAACUAAACUCUAAGAAAUUUUAUAAACUCACAUGGAUCUUUAAUCUCAUCAUAUAUCUAUCAAUCUUAACCAUUUAAACUCACAUAUACUCCAUCAAUUUACAAAUUUGAGCAUAGAUGCACAUAGCCCUAAUUUUAGUAAGCUAACUCAUAUCAAAAUCAUCAUUUGACAACAUAUACUCAAUUUACUCCAUCAAUCAUCAUCAUAUACAUCUCAUGGACUCAUAUUCAUCAUCAAUUCAUCACUUUAAUCAUCAACCCAAAAAUUCCCAAAUUUGGGGUAAACUAAACUCAUCGAAUCUUUACAUCUCAAAACAUAGUUUUUCAAAACACACCUCAAUCAUCACCAAACAUCACAUAGAUCACUUUUCUCACCUCAAUUCAAGGAAAGAAGAAGAAAAAUUUUUGAAGGGUAGAACACCCAAAUUUUCGAAAAUUAUGAAGAAAAAGGGAGGGGGUGAUUUCUUGCUCCAAUCCUUCAAAUAAACUCAUAUACAAACUCAUACAAAUUAUAUCUAUGAACAUGGAGAUCACUUACCCAAGUUUUCACCAAUUAUCCAAAUUUUCUCUCACUAUUCUUGAAACCAAUCUUCAAGGAUUCUCUUGGAUUUAAGUUAAUAGGAUGUGUUUAUGGAGGAUUUAAGUAGUGAUUUAUGUGUUUGGCAUACUUGGG